rnacentral:misc_RNA from 1 species
AAGGAUCAUUACCGAGUACCGGGUCUUCGGGCCCUACUCCCACCCUCUGUGUAUCUACCUCUUGUUCGUUGCCUUGGUGGGGUCGAUCCCCGUGGCCCUUGCGGCCACGUGGGGGACCUGCCAGGGGGACACCUUUAAACUCUUGUCAACCGUGACGUCUGAGAAAAACACAAUAAAUUAAAACUUUCAACAACGGAUCUCUUGGUUCUG